rnacentral:tRNA from 2 species
GCCCGGGUAGCUCAGUCGGCAGAGCGGCUCACUCGUAAUGAGCAGGUCAGGAGUUCGAUUCUCCUCUCGGGCU